UGCAGGACCCGCGGGACCGCUUCGAGCUGCUGCAGCGCGUGGGGGCCGGGACCUAUGGCGACGUCUACAAGGCCCGCGACACGGUCACGUCCGAACUGGCCGCCGUGAAGAUAGUCAAGCUAGACCCAGGGGACGACAUCAGCUCCCUCCAGCAGGAAAUCACCAUCCUGCGUGAGUGCCGCCACCCCAAUGUGGUGGCCUACAUUGGCAGCUACCUCAGGAAUGACCGCUUGUGGAUCUGCAUGGAGUUCUGCGGAGGGGGCUCCCUGCAGGAGAUUUACCAUGGU
rnacentral:lncRNA from 1 species